rnacentral:rRNA from 1 species
AGGACGAACGCUGGCGGCGUGCUUAACACAUGCAAGUCGAGCGGAAAGGCCCUUCGGGGUACUCGAGCGGCGAACGGGUGAGUAACACGUGAGUAAUCUGCCUUCAGCUCUGGGAUAGCUCCGGGAAACCGGGAUUAAUACCGGAUAUGACCACUUCGGACAUCUGUUGUGGUGGAAAGUUUUUCGGCUGGAGAUGAGCUCGCGGCCUAUCAGCUUGUUGGUGGGGUAAAGGCCUACCAAGGCGACGACGGGUAGCCGGCCUGAGAGGGCGACCGGCCACACUGGGACUGAGACACGGCCCAGACUCCUACGGGAGGCAGCAGUGGGGAAUAUUGCGCAAUGGGCGGAAGCCUGACGCAGCGACGCCGCGUGGGGGAUGAAGGCCUUCGGGUUGUAACCCUUUCAGCAGGGACGAAGCGCAAGUGACGGUACCUGCAGAAGAAGCGCCGGCUAACUACGCGCCAGCAGCCGC